rnacentral:rRNA from 1 species
UACAGAGGGUGCGAGCGUUUGUUCGGAAUUAUUGGGGCGUAAAGCGCUUGUAGGCGGCUUGUUAAGUUCCGUGUGAAAUCCCCAGGCUUAACCUGGGAAGUGCGCGGAAAACUGGCGAGCUUGAGUGCCGGAGAGGGUCGCGGAAUUCCCGGUGUAGAGGUGAAAUUCGUAGAUAUCGGGAGGAACACCAGUGGCGAAGGCGGCGACCUGGACGGACACUGACGCUGAGACGCGAAAGCGUGGGGAGCAAACAGGG